rnacentral:rRNA from 1 species
GUAGGUGGCAAGCGUUGUCCGGAAUUAUUGGGCGUAAAGCGCGCGCAGGCGGUUCUUUAAGUCUGAUGUGAAAGCCCACGGCUCAACCGUGGAGGGUCAUUGGAAACUGGAGAACUUGAGUACAGAAGAGGAAAGCGGAAUUCCACGUGUAGCGGUGAAAUGCGUAGAGAUGUGGAGGAACACCAGUGGCGAAGGCGGCUUUCUGGUCUGUAACUGACGCUGAGGCGCGAAAGCGUGGGGAGCAAACAGGGAUUAGAUACCCUGGUAGUCCACGCCGUAAACGAUGAGUGCUAAGUGUUAGGGGGGUUUUCCGCCCCCCUUAGUGCUGCAGCUAACGCAUUAAGCACUCCGCCCUGGGAGUACGGCCGCAAGGCUG